UACGGAGGGUGCAAGCGUUAUCCGGAUUCACUGGGUUUAAAGGGUGCGUAGGUGGGCAGGUAAGUCAGUGGUGAAAUCUCCGGGCUUAACCCGGAACUGCCGUUGAUACUAUCUGUCUUGAAUAUCCUGGAGGUGAGCGGAAUAUGUCAUGUAGCGGUGAAAUGCUUAGAUAUGACAUAGAACACCAAUUGCGAAGGCAGCUCACUACGGGAUCAUUGACACUGAGGCACGAAAGCGUGGGGAUCAAACAGG
rnacentral:rRNA from 1 species